AAUCACCUCUACCCAACUUGUUCCCGCCAGUGAAUGUGCUAAUCAUGUUUUAGAGUUGUUAUUUGAUUUUCCUGCGGUGUGUGAUGAUUUGCUAAGAGAUGCUAUGAUGUAUGUGAAGUCCCUGCCUUCCCCAAAGAGUGUAUAAAACUGCUGCAAACCCUGGGCUCGGGGCCUCUCAGCGUCACCAGUUGCUGUGUGUGCGUGCGGAGGACCGAGCUAGCUCGCAAUAAACACCUCUUUGCUGCUUACAUCGAUCUUGGGU
rnacentral:lncRNA from 1 species